rnacentral:rRNA from 1 species
UACGAAGGGGGCUAGCGUUGUUCGGAUUUACUGGGCGUAAAGCGCACGUAGGCGGAUCGAUCAGUCAGGGGUGAAAUCCCAGGGCUCAACCCUGGAACUGCCUUUGAUACUGUCGAUCUGGAGUAUGGAAGAGGUGAGUGGAAUUCCGAGUGUAGAGGUGAAAUUCGUAGAUAUUCGGAAGAACACCAGUGGCGAAGGCGGCUCACUGGACUGGUAUUGACGCUGAUGUGCGAAAGCGUGGGGAGCAAACAGG